rnacentral:lncRNA from 1 species
UGUAAAUUAUAUUAUUGUCUCAUAAAUUGAAUGAGUUGUCAUACAGAUGCAUACAAUGAGAAUUUGACAAGUACCUCCAAUAAUGUUAUCAUUGAUUGUGACUGAAUCUAAAUUGCUAAGUUGAUUUGAAUUUGUUGAGUAAAAGGUUAUUGUAUGCUAUGCAUAAAAAGUGAUCUACAAUAUGUCUAUGAUGUGUGGUGACAAUGUGAUGAAUUGUGAUUUGUGUUAAAAAGUGAUUAUCAUGAUUAUUAGCAUUAUGUGAAAUCAUGAGCUUAAUUAC